ensembl:lncRNA
GAAUUGUUAUUUGCUUCUUUCUUGCUCUGGAGGACUAACAACUAGAGAAUAUAUAUUCUUUAUCGCAUAUGUUUGUUAAUCUGAAGUCAAAACUAACAUGAAGGAAAUUCAUAAUCUCAUAAUUCUAGAAAUUAAAUGAAAAAGUAAACUGAAGUGAAAAUGCAGUGGAAAUGUUUCAAUUGUGCUAUGGUGAGACCCAUUGCUCUUGCUGAUUGCACAUAAAAUCUUUGGACAAAGUAUAAAAGACAACUCUGAAGAUCUCUGAAAAGUAAACAAAAGUGGGCCAGUUAUGGAAGGAGCAUUUUGGAGAUGGACACUGCAUGAGGGUGAGUUUCCCGUUUCUUUUCUCAGAAACCGUGUUGUUUUGACAAAGAGCAAACAGGAGGAGGGGCCUCUGAGAGUCGGAAGGAAAUUGUGAUUCCUGCUGCAGUGAGGAUGAGCCUUGAGGACAUUGUGCUGAGUGACAUAAGAACAAAUACUGAAUGAUUCCACUUACAUGAGGACCUAGAAUAAGCUCCUCUCCUGUCCAUGAGUCUGCUUGUUCAGUCCUGAAGUGCAGUCGGCCCGCAGCACUGUGUUAGUUCCAGACGCGCAGCACAAGGACUUGAUAUUCCCAUACGUUUCAAAAGGAUCACCACAGAAAUCUCGUUACCAUCUGUCAACAUUCCAAGAUGUCACGUGUCUAAAAACUUACCAAUCCCAAAGAACAGCAAUGCCAAAGAAUGUUCAGACUACUGCACAAUUACAUUCAUCUCACAUACUAGUAAAGUAAUGCUCAAAAUUUUCCAAGCCAGGCUUCAGUAGAAUGUGAACCAUG